rnacentral:rRNA from 1 species
GAUGAACGCUGGCGGCGUGCCUAAUACAUGCAAGUCGAGCGAACAGACGAGGAGCUUGCUCCUCUGACGUUAGCGGCGGACGGGUGAGUAACACGUGGAUAACCUACCUAUAAGACUGGGAUAACUUCGGGAAACCGGAGCUAAUACCGGAUAAUAUAUUGAACCGCAUGGUUCAAUAGUGAAAGACGGUUUUGCUGUCACUUAUAGAUGGAUCCGCGCCGCAUUAGCUAGUUGGUAAGGUAACGGCUUACCAAGGCAACGAUGCGUAGCCGACCUGAGAGCGUGAUCGGCCACACUGGAACUGAGACACGGUCCAGACUCCUACGGGAGGCAGCAGUAGGGAAUCUUCCGCAAUGGGCGAAAGCCUGACGGAGCAACGCCGCGUGAGUGAUGAAGGUCUUCGGAUCGUAAAACUCUGUUAUUAGGGAAGACCAAAUGUGUAAGUAACUAUGCACGUCUUGACGGUACCUAAUCAGAAAGCCACGGCUAACUACGUG